rnacentral:rRNA from 1 species
GAUGAACGCUGGCGGCGUGCCUAAUACAUGCAAGUCGAGCGAAUGGAUUAAGAGCUUGCUCUUAUGAAGUUAGCGGCGGACGGGUGAGUAACACGUGGGUAACCUGCCCAUAAGACCGGGAUAACUCCGGGAAACCGGGGCUAAUACCGGAUAACAUUUUGAACCGCAUGGUUCGAAAUUGAAAGGCGGCUUCGGCUGUCACUUAUGGAUGGACCCGCGUCGCAUUAGCUAGUUGGUGAGGUAACGGCUCACCAAGGCAACGAUGCGUAGCCGACCUGAGAGGUUGAUCGGCUACACUGGGACUGAGACACGGCCCAGACUCCUACGGGAGGCAGCAGUAGGGAAUCUUCCGCAAUGGACGAAAGUCUGACGGAGCAACGCCGCGUGAGUGAUGAAGGCUUUCGGGUCGUAAAACUCUGUUGUUAGGGAAGAACAAGUGCUAGUUGAAUAAGCUGGCACCUUGACGGUACCUAACCAGAAAGCCACGGCUAACUACGUGCCAGCCGCCGCGGUAA